rnacentral:rRNA from 1 species
AUUGAACGCUGGCGGCAUGCCUUACACAUGCAAGUCGAACGGUAACAGGUCUUCGGAUGCUGACGAGUGGCGAACGGGUGAGUAAUACAUCGGAACGUGCCCGAUCGUGGGGGAUAACGGAGCGAAAGCUUUGCUAAUACCGCAUACGAUCUACGGAGGAAAGCAGGGGCCCGCAAGGCCUUGCGCGGACGGAGCGGCCGGUGGCAGAUUAGGUAGUUGGUGGGGUAAAAGCUUACCAAGCCGACGAUCUGGAGCUGGUCUGAGAGGACGAACAGCCACACUGGGACUGAGACACGGCCCAGACUCCUACGGGAGGCAGCAGUGGGGAAUUUUGGACAAUGGGCGAAAGCCUGAUCCAGCCAUGCCGCGUGCAGGGUGAAGGCCUUCGGGUUGUAAACUGCUUUUGUACGGAACGAAAAGACUCUGGUUAAUACCUGGGGUCCAUGACGGUACCGUAAGAAUAAGCACCGGCUAACUACGUGCCAGCAGCCGCAGUAACAC